UCCCAGUUCGGAUUGCAGUCUGCAACUCGACUGCAUGAAGCUGGAAUCGCUAGUAAUCGCGAAUCAGAAUGUCGCGGUGAAUACGUUCCCGGGUCUUGUACACACCGCCCGUCACACCAUGGGAGUCGGUAACGCCCGAAGUCAGUGACCCAACCGGAAGGAGGGAGCUGCCGAAGGCGGGACCGGUAACUGGGGUGAAGUCGUAACAAGGUAUC
rnacentral:rRNA from 1 species